rnacentral:rRNA from 1 species
AACGCGAAGAACCUUACCAACCCUUGACAUGGGGAUCGCGAUUUCCAGAGAUGGAUUUCUUCAGUUCGGCUGGAUCCCACACAGGUGCUGCAUGGCUGUCGUCAGCUCGUGUCGUGAGAUGUUCGGUUAAGUCCGGCAACGAGCGCAACCCACACUCUUAGUUGCCAGCAUUCAGUUGGGCACUCUAGGAGAACUGCCGAUGAUAAGUCGGAGGAAGGUGUGGAUGACGUCAAGUCCUCAUGGCCCUUACGGGUUGGGCUACACACGUGCUACAAUGGCAGUGACAAUGGGCUAACCCCAAAAAGCUGUAUCAGUUCGGAUUGGGGUCUGCAACUCGACCCCAUGAAGUCGGAAUCGCUAGUAAUCGCGUAACAGCAUGACGCGGUGAAUACGUUCCCG